UACGUAGGGUGCGAGCGUUGUCCGGAUUUAUUGGGCGUAAAGAGCUCGUAGGUGGUCUGUUGCGUCGGUUGUGAAAACCCGGGGCUUAACUCCGGGCCUGCAGUCGAUACGGGCAGACUAGAGUUCGGCAGGGGAGACUGGAAUUCCUGGUGUAGCGGUGAAAUGCGCAGAUAUCAGGAGGAACACCAAUGGCGAAGGCAGCAAACUGGACGGCAACUGACGCUGAGGCGCGAAAGCGUGGGUAGCAAACAGG
rnacentral:rRNA from 1 species